CAAGUCGAACGAAGCUAUUUUUUUGAACCUUCGGGGGAAAUUAAAUAGACUGAGUGGCGAACGGGUGAGUAAUACGCAAGAACCUACCUCUAGGAAGGGGAUAACAAUUGGAAACGAUUGCUAAUACCCUAUAUGCUUCCGAGUAAAAUAGUUUUUUGCCUGGAGAGGGGCUUGUGCCUGAUUAGCUAGUUGGUUAGGUAAUGGCUAACCAAGGCGACGAUCAGUAGCUGGCUUGAGAGGGCGACCAGCCACACUGGGACUGAGACACGGCCCAGACUCCUACGGGAGGCAGCAGUGAGGAAUUUUCCGCAAUGAGCGAAAGCUUGACGGAGCAAUACCGCGUGGAGGACGAAGGCUCAUGGGUCGUAAACUCCUUUUCUUAGGGAAGAAUUUUGACGGUACCUAAGGAAUAAGCAUCGGCUAAUUCCGUGCCAGCAGCCGCGGUAAGACGGGAGAUGCAAGCGUUAUUCGGAUUUAUUGGGCGUAAAGGGUCUGUAGGUUGUUGGUUAAGUCUAUGGUCAAAUUCCGAAGCUCAACUUCGGGCCGGCACUAGAAACUAAUCAACUUGAGUACGUUAGAGGCAGGGGGAAUUCCCAGUGUAGCGGUGAAAUGCGUAGAUAUUGGGAGGAACAUCAAUGGCGAAGGCACCCUGCUAGGCCGAUACUGACACUGAAAGACGAAAGCUAGGGGAGCAAAUGGGAUUAGAUA
rnacentral:rRNA from 1 species